rnacentral:pre_miRNA from 1 species
AUACAAAUUACCCAGAGAUCUUAUUUAAAAAGCAGAUUCUGAUUCAGUUGGUCUAGAGAGAGCCUGAGAGUCUCCAUUUCUAACAGGCUCCCAGGUGAUGCCUGU